rnacentral:tRNA from 5 species
GAGCGUGUAGUUCAGUGGUAGAACGCUGUCCUGAUAAGACAGAGGUCGAUGGUCCGAUUCCAUCCACGCUCA